rnacentral:rRNA from 1 species
AGUUCGGUCCCUAUCUGCCGUGGGUGUAGGAUACUUGAGAGGAGUUGCCCCUAGUACGAGAGGACCGGGGUGAACGAUCCACUGGUGGACCUGUUAUCGUGCCAACGGUAGUGCAGGGUAGCUAUGAUCGGAAAGGAUAACCGCUGAAGGCAUCUAAGCGGGAAGCCCCCCUCAAAACAAGGUAUCCCUGAGGGCCGUGGAAGACCACCACGUCAAUAGGCCGGAGAUGUAAGCGCAGCAAUGCGUUCAGUUGACCGGUACUAAUCGCCCGGAAGGC